rnacentral:rRNA from 1 species
UCUACGGGCGGCAGCAGUGGGGAAUAUUGGACAAUGGGCGAAAGCCUGAUCCAGCCAUGCCGCGUGUGUGAAGAAGGCCUUCGGGUCGUAAAGCACUUUCAGUGGGGAAGAAAGCCUUGGGGCUAAUACCCUCGAGGAAGGACAUCACCCACAGAAGAAGCACCGGCUAACUCCGUGCCAGCAGCCGCGGUAAUACGGAGGGUGCGAGCGUUAAUCGGAAUUACUGGGCGUAAAGCGCGCGUAGGCGGUCUGAUAAGCCGGUUGUGAAAGCCCCGGGCUCAACCUGGGAACGGCAUCCGGAACUGUCAGGCUAGAGUGCAGGAGAGGAAGGUAGAAUUCCCGGUGUAGCGGUGAAAUGCGUAGAGAUCGGGAGGAAUACCAGUGGCGAAGGCGGCCUUCUGGACUGACACUGACGCUGAGGUGCGAAAGCGUGGGUAGCAAACAGGAUUAGAUACCCGGGUAGUC